rnacentral:rRNA from 1 species
UACGGGGGGAGCAAGCGUUGUUCGGAUUUACUGGGCGUAAAGGGCGGGUAGGCGGCCACCGCAAGUCAGUUGUGAAAUCUCUGGGCUUAACCCAGAAAGGUCAACUGAUACUGCGGGGCUAGAGUGCAGAAGGGGCAACUGGAAUUCUCGGUGUAGCGGUGAAAUGCGUAGAUAUCAGGAGGAACACCGGUGGCGAAGGCGGGUCUCUGGGCCGAUACUGACGCUGAGGGGCGAAAGCGUGGGGAGCGAACAGGA